UUAUUAUUAUUAUGAUGAUGAUGAUGAUGAUGAUGAUGAUCAUCAUCAUCAUCAUCAUCAUCAUCAUUAUUA
rnacentral:pre_miRNA from 1 species